CGAACGGCAGCGCGGGGCAACCUGGCGGCGAGUGGCGAACGGGUGAGUAAUAUAUCGGAACGUACCCAGAAGUGGGGGAUAACGUAGCGAAAGUUACGCUAAUACCGCAUACGAUCUACGGAUGAAAGUGGGGGACCUUCGGGCCUCAUGCUUUUGGAGCGGCCGAUAUCUGAUUAGCUAGUUGGUGAGGUAAAGGCUCACCAAGGCGACGAUCAGUAGCUGGUCUGAGAGGACGACCAGCCACACUGGGACUGAGACACGGCCCAGACUCCUACGGGAGGCAGCAGUGGGGAAUUUUGGACAAUGGGCGCAAGCCUGAUCCAGCAAUGCCGCGUGAGUGAAGAAGGCCUUCGGGUUGUAAAGCUCUUUUGUCAGGGAAGAAACGGUCUUGGUUAAUACCUGAGGCUAAUGACGGUACCUGAAGAAUAAGCACCGGCUAACUACGUGCCAGCAGCCGCGGUAAUACGUAGGGUGCAAGCGUUAAUCGGAAUUACUGGGCGUAAAGCGUGCGCAGGCGGUUUUGUAAGUCUGACGUGAAAGCCCCGGGCUUAACCUGGGAAUUGCGUUGGAGAC
rnacentral:rRNA from 1 species